GCACUGCUGAAGAGUCCCAAAAUAGGACGAAACGGCCGCCCAGUGC
rnacentral:hammerhead_ribozyme from 1 species